rnacentral:rRNA from 1 species
CCUACGGGAGGCAGCAGUGGGGAAUAUUGGACAAUGGGGGGAACCCUGAUCCAGCCAUGCCGCGUGUGUGUAGAAGGCCCUCGGGUUGUAAAGCACUUUCAGUGAGGAAGAACGCCUGGUGGUUAAUACCCAUCAGGAAAGACAUCACUCACAGAAGAAGCACCGGCUAACUCCGUGCCAGCAGCCGCGGUAAUACGGAGGGUGCGAGCGUUAAUCGGAAUUACUGGGCGUAAAGCGCGCGUAGGUGGCUUGAUAAGCCGGUUGUGAAAGCCCCGGGCUCAACCUGGGAACGGCAUCCGGAACUGUCAAGCUAGAGUGCAGGAGAGGAAGGUAGAAUUCCCGGUGUAGCGGUGAAAUGCGUAGAGAUCGGGAGGAAUACCAGUGGCGAAGGCGGCCUUCUGGACUGACACUGACACUGAGGUGCGAAAGCGUGGGUAGCAAACAGGAUUAGAUACCCUAGUAGUC